rnacentral:rRNA from 1 species
AACGAACGCUGGCGGCAUGCCUAACACAUGCAAGUCGAACGAGACCUUCGGGUCUAGUGGCGCACGGGUGCGUAACGCGUGGGAACCUGCCCUUAGGUUCGGAAUAACUCCCCGAAAGGGGUGCUAAUACCGGAUAAUGUCUUCGGACCAAAGAUUUAUCGCCUUUGGAUGGGCCCGCGUUGGAUUAGCUAGUUGGUAGGGUAAAAGCCUACCAAGGCGACGAUCCAUAGCUGGUCUGAGAGGAUGAUCAGCCACACUGGGACUGAGACACGGCCCAGACUCCUACGGGAGGAAGCAGUGGGGAAUAUUGGACAAUGGGCGAAAGACUGAGCCAGCAAUGCCGCGUGAGUGAUGAAGGCCUUAGGGUUGUAAAGCUCUUUUACCCGGGAUGAUAAUGACAGUACCGGGAGAAUAAGCUCCGGCUAACUCCGUG